rnacentral:rRNA from 1 species
ACGGGUGCGGAACACGUACGCAACCUUCCUUUAAGCGGGGAAUAGCCCAGAGAAAUUUGGAUUAAUACCCCAUAAGAAUGUGAUCUGGCAUCAGGUAGCAUUUAAAGAUUUAUCACUUAAAGAUGGGCGUGCGUCUGAUUAGGUAGUUGGUGAGGUAACGGCUCACCAAGCCGACGAUCAGUAACUGGCGUGAGAGCGCGACCAGUCACACGGGCACUGAGACACGGGCCCGACUCCUACGGGAGGCAGCAGUAAGGAAUAUUGGUCAAUGGACGCAAGUCUGAACCAGCCAUGCCGCGUGGAGGAUGAAGGCCCUCUGGGUUGUAAACUUCUUUUAUCUGGGACGAAACACUUCUUUUCUAGGGAGCUUGACGGUACCAGGUGAAUAAGCACCGGCUAACUCCGUGCCAGCAGCCGCGGUAAUACGGAGGGUGCAAGCGUUAUCCGGAUUCACUGGGUUUAAAGGGUGCGUAGGCGGACAUGUAAGUCCGUGGUGAAAUCUCCGAGCUUAACUCGGAAACUGCCAUGGAUACUAUAUGUCUUGAAUGUUGUGGAGGUUAGCGGAAUAUGUCAUGUAGCGGUGAAAUG